rnacentral:rRNA from 1 species
GACGAACGCUGGCGGCGUGCUUAACACAUGCAAGUGGAGCGACGAACCGGGCUUCGGCCCGGGGCAGAGCCGCGAACGGGUGAGUAACACGUGGGUCAUCUGCCCAGUUGACAGGGACAACCCGGGGAAACCCGGGCUAAUACCUGAUGUGCCCCUCGGGGGAAAGGAAGCUUCGGCCUCCGCAACUGGAUGAGCCCGCGGCCCAUUAGCUUGUUGGUGGGGUAAUGGCCUACCAAGGCUGCGAUGGGUAGCUGGUCUGAGAGGACGAUCAGCCACACUGGGACUGAGACACGGCCCAGACUCCUACGGGAGGCAGCAGUGGGGAAUCUUGCGCAAUGCGCGAAAGCGUGACGCAGCAACGCCGCGUGGAGGAAGACGGCCUUCGGGUUGUAAACUCCUUUCAGUUGGGACGAAGCUUCAUUCGUUAAUAGCGAGUUGGAGUGACGGUACCUUCAGAAGAAGCCCCGGCUAACUACGUGCCAGCCGCCGCCGUAACAC